rnacentral:rRNA from 1 species
GAUGAACGCUGGCGGCGUGCUUAACACAUGCAAGUCGAACGGAAAGACCCUGCUUUUGUGGGGUGCUCGAGUGGCGAACGGGUGAGUAACACGUGAGUAACCUGCCCUUGUCUUUGGGAUAACUUCAGGAAACUGGGGCUCACACCGGAUAGGAGCUCCUGCUGCAUGGUGGGGGUUGGAAAGUUUCGGCGGUUGGGGCUGGACUCGCGGCUUAUCAGCUUGUUGGUGGGGUAGGGGCUUACCAAGGGUUUGACGGGUAGCCUGCCUGAGAGGGUGACCGGCCACAAUGGGACUGAGAUACGGACCAGACUCCUACGGGAGGCAGCAGUGGGGAAUAUGGCACAAUGGGCGGAAGCCUGAUGCAGCAACGCCGCGUGCGGGAUGACGGGCUUCGGGUUGUAAACCGCUUUCGCCUGUGACGAAGCGUGAGUGACGGUAAUGGGUAAAGAAGCACCGGCUAACUACGUG